UUAAGUAAGGAAGGGCGUACGGCGAAUGCCUUGCCACUCGAAACUGAAGAAGGACGCGCCAAACUGCGAAAAGCUCCGUGAAGCUGUAAGGAAGCGAAGAAGCGGAGGUGUCCGAAUGGGGGAACCCGGCAGCAGACAUGAGCUGUCAUCUGCAGGUGAAUACAUGGCCUGCAAGAGAGGUACCCGGCGAACUGAAACAUCUAAGUAGCCGGAGGAAAAGAAAACAACAGUGAUUCCCUGAGUAGCGGCGAGCGAAAGGGGAGAAGCCCAAACCGGUUGAAGGACCGGGGUUGAAGGACCAUGACAUGGCAAGAACGAGGAUAGGAGAACGGGAUCGAAAGCCCGGCCGAAGAAGGUGAAAGCCCUGUAACCGAAAUCCGAGUAAAGCCUAAUGGGAUCCUGAGUACGGCGAGACACGAGAAAUCUUGUCGGAAGCAGGCGGGACCAUCCGCCAAGGCUAAAUAUAAACGAGUGAGCGAUAGUGAACCAGUACCGUGAGGGAAAGGUGAAAAGAACCGCGGGAGCGGAGUGAAAGAGAACCUGAAACCGUAUGCCUACAAGAAGUCAGAGCCCGUUAAGGGGUGAUGGCGUGCCUUUUGUAGAAUGAACCGGCGAGUUGCGACAGACUGCGAGGUUAAGGAGGAAAGACCGGAGCCGAAGCGAAAGCGAGUCUUAAGAGGGCGAAAGUAGGAUGUUGCAGACCCGAAACCGGGUGAUCUAGCCAUGAGCAGGUUGAAGUUGAGGUGAAACUCAAUGGAGGACCGAACCGACUACCGUUGAAAAGUUAGCGGAUGACUUGUGGCUAGGGGAGAAAUUCCAAUCGAACCCGGAGAUAGCUGGUUCUCCCCGAAAUAGCUUUAGGGCUAGCGUCGGAAAGAACCUUAGUGAAGGUAGAGCACUGAAUGUGUGAUGGCCCCAUCCCGGGGUACUGAAUACAAUCAAACUGCGAAUGUCAUUAAGGAUGUCCGGCAGUCAGACUGUGAGUGAUAAGGUCCAUGGUCAAGAGGGAAACAGCCCAGACCGCCAGUUAAGGUCCCAAAAUACAGGCUAAGUGGAAAAGGAUGUGGGGAUGCCCAGACAACUAGGAGGUUGGCUCAGAAGCAGCCAUCCUUUAAAGAGUGCGUAACAGCUCACUAGUCGAGUGACCCUGCGCCGAAAAUGUACCGGGGCUAAGCCUGAUACCGAAACUGCGGAUUGUAGGAAACUAUAGUGGUAGGGGAGCGUUGUAUACGAGCAGAAGCCGUACCGUGAGGAGCGGUGGAUUGUAUAGAAGUGAGAAUGCCGGUGUGAGUAGCGAGAUGUAGGUGAGAAUCCUACACACCGAAAGCCCAAGGAUUCCAGGGGAAGGUUCGUCCGCCCUGGGUAAGUCGGGACCUAACGCGAGGCCGAAAGGCGUAGUGGAUGGAAAGCAGGCGAAAGAUUCCUGCACCCGUAUAUGGAGCGAAGGAGUGACGGAGACGGAUAGUGUGACCCUCUUAAUGGAUUGAGGGCGAAGCGAAGCGGCUGGUUACCAGGCAAAUCCGGUAACCAAAAGGCUAGAGCGUGACAGGUAAGCGAAAUCUUCGGAAAGUAGCGAAGCACAUGAUGACGGCUUCCAGGAAAAGCUUCUGGCAAUGCAUAUGCGGCCCGUACCAAAACCGACACAGGUGGGCAGGGAGAGAAUCCCGAGGUGAGCGAGAGAACUGUUGCCAAGGAACUCGGCAAAAUGACUCCGUAAGUUAGCGAGAAGGAGUGCUUAAGCAAUUAAGCCGCAGUGAAGAGGCCCAAGCGACUGUUUAACUAAAACACAGCUCUCUGCGAAGUCGCAAGACGAAGUAUAGGGGGUGACACCUGCCCGGUGCUGGAAGGUUAAGAGGAUCUGUUAAGAGCGAUCUGAAGCAGUGAUCCGAAGCCCCAGUGAACGGCGGCCGUAACUAUAACGGUCCUAAGGUAGCGAAAUUCCUUGUCAGGUAAGUUCUGACCCGCACGAAAGGUGUAACGAUUUGGGCGCUGUCUCGGCAGCAGACUCGGUGAAAUCUUAGUACCUGUGAAAAUGCAGGUUACCCGCAACUAGACGGAAAGACCCCAUGGAGCUUUACUGCAGCCUGAUAUUGAAUUCUGGUCAUACAUGUACAGGAUAGGUGGGAGACAAAGAGACGUGCACGCCAGUGUACGAGGAGUCGACGUUGGGAUACCACUCUUGUGUGACCGGGGUUCUAACCUGGUAUCGAGAACAGGUACGGGGAGAGUGUCAGGUGGGCAGUUUGACUGGGGCGGUCGCCUCCCAAAGAGUAACGGAGGCGCCCAAAGGUACGCUCAGAUUGGAUGGAAACCAAUCGUCGAGUGCAAUUGCAGAAGCGUGCUUGACUGUGAGACAGACAAGUCGAACAGGGACGAAAGUCGGGAAUAGUGAUCCGGCGGUGCCGAAUGGAAGGGCCGUCGCUCAACGGAUAAAAGCUACCCUGGGGAUAACAGGCU
rnacentral:rRNA from 1 species